rnacentral:rRNA from 1 species
UUGCUGACGAGUGGCGGACGGGUGAGUAAUGUAUAGGAACUUGCCUAGUAGUGGGGGACAACGUGUGGAAACGCACGCUAAUACCGCAUACGCUCUACGGAGGAAAGCGGGGGAUCUUCGGACCUUUCGCUAUGAGAUGAGCCUGCGUUAGAUUAGCUAGUUGGUAGGGUAAAGGCCUACCAAGGCGACGAUCUAUAGCUGGUCUGAGAGGACGAUCAGCCACACUGGGACUGAGACACGGCCCAGACUCC